UCAGGAUGAACGCUAGCUACAGGCUUAACACAUGCAAGUCGAGGGGCAGCAUUGGAGUAGCAAUACUCAGAUGGCGACCGGCGCACGGGUGAGUAACACGUAUCCAACCUGCCGCUUACUCGGGGAUAGCCUUUCGAAAGAAAGAUUAAUACCCGAUGGUAUAAAGAGUUCGCAUGUUCUCUUUAUUAAAGAAUUUCGGUAAGCGAGUGGGGAUGCGUUCCAUUAGAUAGUUGGCGGGGUAACGGCCCACCAAGUCUACGAUGGAUAGGGGUUCUGAGAGGAAGGUCCCCCACAUUGGAACUGAGACACGGUCCAAACUCCUACGGGAGGCAGCAGUGAGGAAUAUUGGUCAAUGGACGAGAGUCUGAACCAGCCAAAGUAGCGUGAAGGAUGACUGCCCUAUGGGUUGUAAACUUCUUUUAUAAGGGAAUAAAGUGAGGGACGUGUCCCUUUUUGUAUGUACCUUAUGAAUAAGGAUCGGCUAACUCCGUGCCAGCCGCCGC
rnacentral:rRNA from 1 species